GAUGAACGCUGGCGGCGUGCUUAACACAUGCAAGUCGAACGGAAAGGCCCAAGCUUGCUUGGGUACUCGAGUGGCGAACGGGUGAGUAACACGUGGGUGAUCUGCCCUGCACUUCGGGAUAAGCCUGGGAAACUGGGUCUAAUACCGGAUAGGACAAUGGUUUGGAUGCCAUUGUGGAAAGUUUUUCGGUGUGGGAUGAGCUCGCGGCCUAUCAGCUUGUUGGUGGGGUAAUGGCCUACCAAGGCGUCGACGGGUAGCCGGCCUGAGAGGGUGUACGGCCACAUUGGGACUGAGAUACGGCCCAGACUCCUACGGGAGGCAGCAGUGGGGAAUAUUGCACAAUGGGCGCAAGCCUGAUGCAGCGACGCCGCGUGGGGGAUGACGGCCUUCGGGUUGUAAACUCCUUUCGCUAGGGACGAAGCGUUAUGUGACGGUACCUGAGAAG
rnacentral:rRNA from 1 species